rnacentral:rRNA from 1 species
GAUCAUUACCGAGUGAGGGCCCUCUGGCAGUCUGAUCCCACCCGUGUCUAUCGUACCUUGUUGCUUCGGCGGGCCCGCCGUUUCGACGGCCGCCGGGGAGGCCUUGCGCCCCCGGGCCCGCGCCCGCCGAAGACCCCAACAUGAACGCUGUUCUGAAAGUAUGCAGUCUGAGUUGAUUAUCGUAAUCAGUUAAAACUUUCAACAACGGAUCUCUUGGUUCCGGCAUCGAUGAAGAACGCAGCGAAAUGCGAUAAGUAAUGUGAAUUGCAGAAUUCAGUGAAUCAUCGAGUCUUUGAACGCACAUUGCGCCCCCUGGUAUUCCGGGGGGCAUGCCUGUCCGAGCGUCAUUGCUGCCCUCAAGCACGGCUUGUGUGUUGGGCCCCCGUCCCCCCAGUCUGAGGGACGGGCCCGAAAGGCAGCGGCGGCACCGCGUCCGGUCCUCGAGCGUAUGGGGCUUUGUCACCUGCUCUGUAGGCCCGGCCGGCGCCAGCCGACACCCAACUUUAUUUUUCUAAGGUUGACCUCGGAUCAGGUAGGGAUACCCGCUGAACUUAAGCAUA